CUUGCUUCUCUGAUGUUAGCGGCGGACGGGUGAGUAACACGUGGAUAACCUACCUAUAAGACUGGGAUAACUUCGGGAAACCGGAGCUAAUACCGGAUAAUAUUUUGAACCGCAUGGUUCAAAAGUGAAAGACGGUCUUGCUGUCACUUAUAGAUGGAUCCGCGCUGCAUUAGCUAGUUGGUAAGGUAACGGCUUACCAAGGCAACGAUGCAUAGCCGACCUGAGAGGGUGAUCGGCCACACUGGAACUGAGACACGGUCCAGACUCCUACGGGAGGCAGCAGUAGGGAAUCUUCCGCAAUGGGCGAAAGCCUGACGGAGCAACGCCGCGUGAGUGAUGAAGGUCUUCGGAUCGUAAAACUCUGUUAUUAGGGAAGAACAUAUGUGUAAGUAACUGUGCACAUCUUGACGGUACCUAAUCAGAAAGCCACGGCUAACUACGUGCCAGCAGCCGCGGUAAUACGUAGGUGGCAAGCGUUAUCCGGAAUUAUUGGGCGUAAAGCGCGCGUAGGCGGUUUUUUAAGUCUGAUGUGAAAGCCCACGGCUCAACCGUGGAGGGUCAUUGGAAACUGGAAAACUUGAGUGCAGAAGAGGAAAGUGGAAUUCCAUGUGUAGCGGUGAAAUGCGCAGAGAUAUGGAGGAACACCAGUGGCGAAGGCGACUUUCUGGUCUGUAACUGACGCUGAUGUGCGAAAGCGUGGGGAUCAAACAGGAUUAGAUACCCUGGUAGUCCACGCCGUAAACGAUGAGUGCUAAGUGUUAGGGGGUUUCCGCCCCUUAGUGCUGCAGCUAACGCAUUAAGCACUCCGCCUGGGGAGUACGACCGCAAGGUUGAAACUCAAAGGAAUUGACGGGGACCCGCACAAGCGGUGGAGCAUGUGGUUUAAUUCGAAGCAACGCGAAGAACCUUACCAAAUCUUGACAUCCUUUGACAACUCUAGAGAUAGAGCUUUCCCCUUCGGGGGACAAAGUGACAGGUGGUGCAUGGUUGUCGUCAGCUCGUGUCGUGAGAUGUUGGGUUAAGUCCCGCAACGAGCGCAACCCUUAAGCUUAGUUGCCAUCAUUAAGUUGGGCACUCUAAGUUGACUGCCGGUGACAAACCGGAGGAAGGUGGGGAUGACGUCAAAUCAUCAUGCCCCUUAUGAUUUGGGCUACACACGUGCUACAAUGGACAAUACAAAGGGCAGCGAAACCGCGAGGUCAAGCAAAUCCCAUAAAGUUGUUCUCAGUUCGGAUUGUAGUCUGCAACUCGACUACAUGAAGCUGGAAUCGCUAGUAAUCGUAGAUCAGCAUGCUACGGUGAAUACGUUCCCGGGUCUUGUACACACCGCCCGUCACACCACGAGAGUUUGUAACACCCGAAGCCGGUGGAGUAAC
rnacentral:rRNA from 2 species